GGGAGUAUCCGGCUGCCUGGUGGCGCCCGCGGUCUUCAAAACCGUUGAUCCGUCGAAAGGCGGAAGGUCGGGUUCGAUUCCCACAUACUCCCG
rnacentral:tRNA from 1 species